UAUUUAGCUGUUAGUUGCUCUGAUAUUUCUAGUAACUUCUUGCUUUCAUACCCCUAUUGUUGUAGACGCCUUAUAUGUGCAGGCGUAUGGCGGGUCUGUGCACGCACCGGGCGGGCCUAUGCCGGGCCCCAGGACGUGACAGAUUAAUUUGGUAUCAGAGCCUAGGGUUGAGUCUUAGGGGACCUAGCAAACCUUAGGCCGGUUGGACUAUAGAAAAUAGGCUCGUGAGAGACG
rnacentral:lncRNA from 1 species